GAGUGUGAAGGCUUUAUCCUUCCUCUCGGAUAUACCAAUGAUGCACACAUUGAAAACCAAUUGAUUUAUCGGUUGGUAGCGGCCAGACAACCGUAGGGAUGUGGUAUCCACAGAUAGCGGGUUUAAUUCAGUCCCGACUUGUCUACUAACUCCAUCUCACAUAU